AUGGAGGUCGUGAGCGCCUCGCAUGGCGCGUUUGCUCCCCUGCUGGGGAAGCUCGCCACCUUGCUCGCCGACAAGUGUGCUCGGCUGAAAGGGGUCCGCCGUGAGAUCCGCUCCCUCAGGUCGGAGCUCGCGAGCAUGCAUGCUGCCCUGAAGGAGUACACCAAGCUAGAAGACCAAAAUGACCAAGUGAAGACAUGGAUAUCGCUGGUCAGGGAGUUGGCCUACGAUACCGAGGAUAUCUUCGACAAGUUCAUCCACCAGCUUGGCAGCGGAAGCCAUCAUGGUGGUUUCAAGGAGUUCUUCCGCAAGACCGCUCGUCGUCUCAAGACACUUGGGUCUCGUCGCGGAAUCGCUGACCAAAUUGACGAUCUGAAAGAUCGCAUCAAGCAAGUGAAAGAUCUCAAGGAUAGUUACAAGUUGGAUUAUGCUCCUUCUAGCAUCGCUGGCCCUCCAGUCGUGGAUCCCCGGCUGCAUGCAAUUUUUGCUGAUGAGGCACACCUUGUGGGGGUGGAUGGUCCAAGAGAUGAUCUUGCCAAGUGGAUAUUGGAAGCAAAUAACUUGUCCAAAGGAUGCAAGGUUUUGUCAAUUGUCGGGUUUGGUGGAUUGGGAAAGACAACACUAGCGAAUGAGGUAUGUCGCAAGAUUGAAGGGAAUUUCCAUUGUAAGGCUUUUGUGUCAGUCUCACAAAAACCAGAUGUAAAGAAAAUUAUCAAGGAUGUAAUAUCUCAAGUGCCAUGUGAAGAUGGAUCCACAAAAGAUACUAGUGAUUGGGAUGAAAAGAAGUCCAUUGCCAAGCUAAGAGAACUGCUACAAAAUAAAAGGUAUCUCAUCAUCAUCGAUGAUGUAUGGUCUACAAAAGCAUGGCACGCUAUCAAGUGUGCUUUUCCAGAGAAUAAUUGUUCUAGUAGAAUUAUAGCUACUACACGCAUCAUUGACGUAGCAAAGUCAUGUUGUCUGAGUGCUGAUGACCGUGUGUAUAAAUUGAAAGCCCUAAGUGAUCUCCACUCUAGAAGAUUAUUUUUCAAAAGAUUAUUUGGCUCUGAGGAAGAUUGCCCUGAAAUGUUGAAGGAAGUUUCUAAUAAAAUUUUAAGAAAUGUGGAGGCCUACCAUUGGCAAUUAUCAGCAUAUCUGGUUUGCUAG
rnacentral:rRNA from 1 species